rnacentral:rRNA from 1 species
CAACAGGGAUUGCCUCAGUAACGGCGAGUGAAGCGGCAACAGCUCAAAUUUGAAAUCUGGCGGCCUCUGGGCCGUCCGAGUUGUAAUUUGAAGAGGAUGCUUUUGGCGAGGCGCCUUCCGAGUGCCCUGGAACGGGACGCCACAGAGGGUGAGAGCCCCGUAUGGUUGGACGCCGAGCCUCUGUAAAGCUCCUUCGACGAGUCGAGUAGUUUGGGAAUGCUGCUCAAAAUGGGAGGUAAACCCCUUCUAAAGCUAAAUACUGGCCAGAGACCGAUAGCGCACAAGUAGAGUGAUCGAAAGAUGAAAAGCACUUUGAAAAGAGAGUUAAAUAGCACGUGAAAUUGUUGAAAGGGAAGCGCUUGCGACCAGACUUGUGCCCGUCGAAUCAGCCGCCGCUCGCCGGCGGCGCACUUCGGCGGGCUCAGGCCAGCAUCAGUUCGCUGCAGGGGGAGAAAGGCGGCGGGAAUGUGGCUCUUCGGAGUGUUAUAGCCCGCCGCGCAAUACCCCUCGGCGGACUGAGGACCGCGCAUCUGCAAGGAUGCUGGCGUAAUGGUCGUCAGCGACCCGUCUUGAAACACGGACCAAGGAGUCGUCCUAAUAUGCGAGUGUUCGGGUGUAAAACCCCUGCGCGUAAUGAAAGUGAACGGAGGUGAGAGCUUCGGCGCAUCAUCGACCGAUCCUGAUGUUCUCGGAUGGAUUUGAGUAAGAGCAUAUUGGGCCGGACCCGAAAGAAGGUGAACUAUGCCUGUAUAGGGUAAAGCCAGAGGAAACUCUGGUGGAGGCUCGCAGCGGUUCUGACGUGCAAAUCGAUCGUCAAAUAUGGGCAU